CUAUACAGCAGUCGAGCGAUUGUUGAGUUUACUCAACAGUUAGCGGCGGACGGGUGAGUAACACGUGGGCAACCUGCCUAUAAGACUGGGAUAACUUCGGGAAACCGGAGCUAAUACCGGAUAUGUUCUUUUCUCGCAUGAGAAAAGAUGGAAAGACGGCGUCUCGCUGUCACUUAUAGAUGGGCCCGCGGCGCAUUAGCUAGUUGGUGAGGUAAUGGCUCACCAAGGCAACGAUGCGUAGCCGACCUGAGAGGGUGAUCGGCCACACUGGGACUGAGACACGGCCCAGACUCCUACGGGAGGCAGCAGUAGGGAAUCUUCCGCAAUGGACGAAAGUCUGACGGAGCAACGCCGCGUGAACGAUGAAGGCUUUCGGGUCGUAAAGUUCUGUUGUUAGGGAAGAACAAGUACCAGAGUAACUGCUGGUACCUUGACGGUACCUAACCAGAAAGCCACGGCUAACUACGUGCCAGCAGCCGCGGUAAUACGUAGGUGGCAAGCGUUAUCCGGAAUUAUUGGGCGUAAAGCGCGCGCAGGUGGUUCCUUAAGUCUGAUGUGAAAGCCCCCGGCUCAACCGGGGAGGGUCAUUGGAAUCUGGGGAACUUGAGUGUAGAAGAGGAAAGUGGAAUUCCACGUGUAGCGGUGAAAUGCGUAUAGAUGUGGAAGGAACACCAGUGGCGAA
rnacentral:rRNA from 1 species